AAAUUGAAGAGUUUGAUCAUGGCUCAGAUUGAACGCUGGCGGCAGGCCUAACACAUGCAAGUCGAACGGUAGCACAGAGAGCUUGCUCUCGGGUGACGAGUGGCGGACGGGUGAGUAAUGUCUGGGAAACUGCCUGAUGGAGGGGGAUAACUACUGGAAACGGUGGCUAAUACCGCAUAACGUCGCAAGACCAAAGAGGGGGACCUUCGGGCCUCUUGCCAUCAGAUGUGCCCAGAUGGGAUUAGCUUGUUGGUGAGGUAACGGCUCACCAAGGCGACGAUCCCUAGCUGGUCUGAGAGGAUGACCAGCCACACUGGAACUGAGACACGGUCCAGACUCCUACGGGAGGCAGCAGUGGGGAAUAUUGCACAAUGGGCGCAAGCCUGAUGCAGCCAUGCCGCGUGUAUGAAGAAGGCCUUCGGGUUGUAAAGUACUUUCAGCGGGGAGGAAGGUGUUGUGGUUAAUAACCGCAGCAAUUGACGUUACCCGCAGAAGAAGCACCGGCUAACUCCGUGCCAGCAGCCGCGGUAAUACGGAGGGUGCAAGCGUUAAUCGGAAUUACUGGGCGUAAAGCGCACGCAGGCGGUCUGUCAAGUCGGAUGUGAAAUCCCCGGGCUCAACCUGGGAACUGCAUUCGAAACUGGCAGGCUUGAGUCUUGUAGAGGGGGGUAGAAUUCCAGGUGUAGCGGUGAAAUGCGUAGAGAUCUGGAGGAAUACCGGUGGCGAAGGCGGCCCCCUGGACAAAGACUGACGCUCAGGUGCGAAAGCGUGGGGAGCAAACAGGAUUAGAUACCCUGGUAGUCCACGCCGUAAACGAUGUCUACUUGGAGGUUGUGCCCUUGAGGCGUGGCUUCCGGAGCUAACGCGUUAAGUAGACCGCCUGGGGAGUACGGCCGCAAGGUUAAAACUCAAAUGAAUUGACGGGGGCCCGCACAAGCGGUGGAGCAUGUGGUUUAAUUCGAUGCAACGCGAAGAACCUUACCUGGUCUUGACAUCCACAGAAGAAUCCAGAGAUGGAUUUGUGCCUUCGGGAACUGUGAGACAGGUGCUGCAUGGCUGUCGUCAGCUCGUGUUGUGAAAUGUUGGGUUAAGUCCCGCAACGAGCGCAACCCUUAUCCUUUGUUGCCAGCGGUUAGGCCGGGAACUCAAAGGAGACUGCCAGUGAUAAACUGGAGGAAGGUGGGGAUGACGUCAAGUCAUCAUGGCCCUUACGACCAGGGCUACACACGUGCUACAAUGGCGCAUACAAAGAGAAGCGACCUCGCGAGAGCAAGCGGACCUCAUAAAGUGCGUCGUAGUCCGGAUUGGAGUCUGCAACUCGACUCCAUGAAGUCGGAAUCGCUAGUAAUCGUGGAUCAGAAUGCCACGGUGAAUACGUUCCCGGGCCUUGUACACACCGCCCGUCACACCAUGGGAGUGGGUUGCAAAAGAAGUAGGUAGCUUAACCUUCGGGAGGGCGCUUACCACUUUGUGAUUCAUGACUGGGGUGAAGUCGUAACAAGGUAACCGUAGGGGAACCUGCGGUUGGAUCACCUCCUUACCUUAAAGAAGC
rnacentral:rRNA from 1 species